CCAGAGGGUUGGGCGACCGCUGCUUCACAGGCAACUGUGUCGGAGAGGAAAGUCCGGGCUCCAGCGAGGAACGGUGCCGGGUAAUGCCCGGCGAUCCUGAGCGUGUCGAAGGAUCAGGGAAAGUGCCACAGAAAUCAUACCUCCGUAUUUCGAUGCGGUAAGGUCGAAACGGUGCGGUAAGAGCGCACCGCGUUGCUGGUAACAGCAACGGCAUGGCAAACCCCACCGGGAGCAAAACCGAAUAGGGGCGGCAUAUGGCAACCUCCUGCCAGUCGCCCGGGUUGGUUGCAUGAGCGGCGCAGCAAUGCGUCGCCUAGAUGAAUGGUCGCACAGCGCCUUCGGGCGCGGACAGAACCCGGCUUACAGACCCUCUGGUGUU
rnacentral:RNase_P_RNA from 1 species